UAGCCAGCUACGCUAAUUUUGAGAAACAGUUUGGGCGAUUUUGGGGUCAAAUUAACCAGUUGUCUACCUUUUAAUAAGCAGCUGGUAGCUAGUUAACUCCCGUGCCAAUGUCAAGUCUUUCUAAACUAAUAUCUGACAUUAAGUUAUUUCAGAAUGAAAGUUACCUGCUCUGUCACAUUAUGUUAGCUAGCUAUCCCCAGUUAGAUAAUGCUCUGUGACAUAUUAGCUAGCUACCCCCAGUUAGAUAAUGCUUUGUGAUAUUACGUUAGCUAGCUAUCCCCAGUUAGAUAACGCUUUGUGAUAUUACGUUAGCUAGCUAUCCCCAGUUAGAUACUGCUCUGUGACAUAUUAGCUAGCUACCCCCAGUUAGAUAAUGCUUUGUGAUAUUACGUUAGCUAGCUAUCCCCAGUUAGAUAACGCUUUGUGAUAUUACGUUAGCUAGCUAUCCCCAGUUAGAUAAUGCUCUGUGUCAUUAUGUUAGCUAGCUAUCCCCAGUUAGAUAAUGCUCUGUGACAUAUUAGCUAGCUACCCCCAGUUAGAUAAUGCUUUGUGAUAUUACGUUAGCUAGCUAUCCCCAGUUAGAUAACGCUUUGUGA
rnacentral:lncRNA from 13 species